rnacentral:rRNA from 1 species
GAUGAACGCUGGCGGCGUGCCUAAUACAUGCAAGUCGAGCGAACAGACGAGGAGCUUGCUCCUCUGACGUUAGCGGCGGACGGGUGAGUAACACGUGGAUAACCUACCUAUAAGACUGGGAUAACUUCGGGAAACCGGAGCUAAUACCGGAUAAUAUAUUGAACCGCAUGGUUCAAUAGUGAAAGACGGUUUUGCUGUCACUUAUAGAUGGAUCCGCGCCGCAUUAGCUAGUUGGUAAGGUAACGGCUUACCAAGGCAACGAUGCGUAGCCGACCUGAGAGGGUGAUCGGCCACACUGGAACUGAGACGCGGUCCAGACUCCUACGGGAGGCAGCAGUAGGGAAUGUGCCGCAAUGGGCGAAAGCCUGACGGAGCAACGCCGCGUGAGUGAUGAAGGUCUUCGGAUCGUAAAACUCUGUUAUUAGGGAAGAACAAAUGUGUAAGUAACUAUGCACGUCUUGACGGUACCUGAUCAGAAAGCCACGGCUAACUACGUG